GGGGUCAUAGCAUAACCCGGCAGUGCGACCGGCUCCAGACCGGUUGAUGGGGGUUCAAAUCCCUCUGACCCCA
rnacentral:tRNA from 1 species